GCUCGAGAGCGAGAACGGGAGAGAAAGGGGCAGAAAUGGCGGCUCCGCUCGGCUCCCGCUGAGUAGGGCGAAGCCGGCAGAGUCUGAGCCGUCGGCCCGGAGCAUCGCUCCCGUCUCCAGCUACCUGUCUUCGCACGCCGACUUCCCUUCCUCUGCCCUGCUCUCGCCUGUCUUCGUCUGCUCUCCGCGGAGUCUGGUUCGGCUUGUCUUUCCCGGCCCGGCUCCACUGGCCCUGACUGCCCGGACAGCGGGCCGGCCUUCCUUGGGUCUCCCCGGCGCGGCGGGCGCCGCUAACGCGGCGUGGACCCCGUCCUCCUGGCUGGACCAUGGUGAACACCCGGAAGAGCUCUCUGCGCCUUCUCGGAUCUAAGUCGCCUGGGCCUGGGCCUGGGCCUGGGGCCGGAGUAGAGCCCGGGGCGACCGGAGGCAGCAGCCAUUUCAUCUCCUCUCGGACCCGCUCCUCCAAGACCCGUGCUGCCAGCUGCCCCGCCGCCAAGGCCGGGGGAAGCGGCGGCGCCGGCGUCGCUCUGGAUGAGGCCCGGAAAGCUGAAGCUGAUGGUAGUUUAAGUGAUAGCCAUGUGUCUCCUCCAGCCAAACGCACUUUGAAACAACCUGACUCUGUUUGCAAAGACAAAUCAAAAUCACGAACUACUGGUCAGCGAGAAGAAUGGAACAUAUCAAGUGGACAGGCCAGGUUAACUUCUCAGCCUGGUGCUACAUUACCAAACGGACAUAGUAGCUUAUCCCUUCGAAGCCAUCCCCAUCGAGGGGAAAAGAAAGGAGAUGGGGAACUUUCUUGUAUAAAUGGUGACAUGGAAGUCAGAAAAAGCUGUCGUUCCAGGAAAAACAGAUUUGAAAGUGUGAACCAGAGUUUGUUAUUUGAUCAACUGGUAAAUAGUACUGCUGAAGCUGUACUACAGGAAAUGGACAACAUAAACAUUAGACGGAAUCGUCGAUCAGGAGAAGUAGAACGGCUUCGAAUGUGGACAGAUACAGAAUUUGAAAACAUGGAUAUGUAUUCAAGAGUGAAAAGGCGAAGAAAGUCACUGAGAAGAAAUAGUUAUGGUAUACAAAAUCAUCAUGAAGUCUCUACUGAGGGUGAAGAAGAAGCUAGAACCUCUAUAUUGCUUCCUUUGGAGAAAAUCAGUAUAGAAUCUCAAGAGGAAGAUGGAGAUAUAGAGGUUGAAGAGGCAGAAGGAGAAGAAAAUGAUAGGCCAUAUAAUUUGAGACAGAGAAAAACAGUGGAUCGAUACCAAGCACCUCCAAUAGUACCAGCUCAUCAAAAAAAGAGGGAAAAUACCCUUUUUGAUAUUCACAGAUCUCCAGCAAGAAGAAGUCAUAUCAGGAGAAAGAAGCAUGCUAUUCACAGUAGUGACACAACGUCUUCUGAUGAAGAACGAUUUGAAAGAAGGAAAUCAAAGAGCAUGGCAAGAGCAAGAAAUAGAUGUUUGCCUAUGAACUUAAGAGCAGAAGAUUUAGCUAGUGGUAUUCUCCGAGAACGUGUUAAAGUGGGUGCAAGCUUGGCUGAUGUUGAUCCAAUGAAUAUUGAUAAAUCAGUGCGGUUUGAUAGCAUAGGUGGAUUGAGUCAUCAUAUUCAUGCACUAAAGGAAAUGGUAGUAUUCCCACUUUUAUAUCCAGAAAUUUUUGAAAAAUUUAAAAUUCAGCCUCCAAGAGGCUGUUUGUUUUAUGGUCCUCCUGGCACAGGUAAAACCUUGGUCGCCAGAGCGUUAGCUAACGAGUGCAGUCAGGGAGACAAAAAGGUGGCUUUUUUUAUGCGAAAAGGAGCGGAUUGUCUGAGUAAGUGGGUUGGUGAAUCUGAGCGGCAGCUUAGGCUUCUUUUUGAUCAGGCAUAUUUGAUGAGACCUUCUAUAAUAUUUUUUGAUGAAAUAGAUGGAUUAGCUCCAGUUCGCUCUAGCAGGCAAGAUCAGAUCCACAGCUCUAUAGUGUCAACCCUCCUUGCUCUUAUGGAUGGAUUAGACAAUAGGGGCGAAAUUGUUGUUAUUGGUGCUACAAAUAGACUUGAUUCUAUAGAUCCUGCUCUUAGGAGACCUGGUCGUUUUGACAGAGAAUUUCUUUUCAACCUUCCAGAUCAAAAGGCAAGAAAACACAUUUUACAGAUCCAUACCAGGGACUGGAAUCCAAAAUUGUCAGAUGCUUUUUUAGGUGAAUUGGCUGAAAAAUGUGUUGGCUAUUGUGGAGCUGAUAUCAAGGCCCUGUGCACUGAAGCUGCCCUGAUUGCCCUCCGGAGGCGUUAUCCCCAGAUCUAUGCUAGCAGUCAUAAACUGCAGCUAGAUGUUUCCUCAAUCGUGCUCAACGCCCAAGAUUUUUAUCAUGCAAUGCAGAAUAUUGUGCCUGCUUCCCAACGUGCUGUCAUGUCUUCGGGACAUGCACUGUCUCCCAUCAUAAAACCACUGCUGGAAAGAAGCUUCAACAACAUCCUAGCCGUCCUGCAAAAAGUGUUUCCUCAUGCUGAGAUUAGCCAGAGUGACAAGAAAGAAGAUAUAGAAACUUUGAUUUUAGAUGACAGUGAAGAUGAGAAUGCUGUAUCAAUUUUCGAGACAAGUUGUCACUCAGGAUCACCAAAGAAACAGUCAUCAGCUGCUGCUGUACAUAAACCUUAUCUUCAUUUUACAAUGUCACCAUAUCAUCAGCCAACCUCUUACAGGCCAAGGUUAUUGCUGUCUGGAGAACGAGGCUCAGGUCAAACUUCUCACCUUGCUCCAGCACUUUUGCACACUUUAGAAAAAUUCUCUGUGCAUAGACUAGAUCUCCCAGCACUUUAUUCAGUUAGUGCCAAAACACCUGAAGAAUCGUGCGCACAGAUUUUUCGUGAAGCUCGAAGAACAGUACCUAGUAUUGUUUACAUGCCUCACAUUGGUGAUUGGUGGGAAGCUGUCAGUGAAACUGUGAGAGCAACUUUUCUGACUCUGCUACAAGAUAUACCGUCAUUUUCACCCAUAUUUCUGUUGUCUACCUCUGAAACCAUGUACAGUGAACUGCCUGAAGAGGUUAAAUGUAUCUUUAGAAUACAGUACGAAGAGGUCUUGUAUAUUCAAAGGCCUAUUGAAGAGGACAGAAGAAAAUUUUUCCAAGAACUGAUUCUCAAUCAGGCCUCAAUGGCUCCACCACGAAGGAAACACACUGGUCUUUGUGCAAUGGAGGUACUUCCACUUGCAUUACCUUCUCCACCUCGUCAGUUAUCAGAAUCAGAGAAAAUUCGGAUGGAGGACCAAGAGGAAAAUACUUUAAGAGAGUUGCGGUUGUUUCUCAGGGAUGUAACCAAGAGGCUGGCGACAGAUAAACGCUUUAACAUCUUCAGCAAACCGGUGGAUAUUGAAGAGGUUUCAGAUUAUCUUGAAGUAAUCAAGGAACCAAUGGACUUAUCAACAGUAAUAACUAAAAUUGAUAAGCAUAAUUACCUGACUGCUAAGGAUUUCCUAAAAGAUAUUGACCUCAUCUGUAGCAAUGCUUUGGAGUACAAUCCAGAUAAGGACCCAGGAGACAAAAUAAUUAGGCACAGGGCUUGUACUCUGAAGGAUACUGCACAUGCCAUCAUUGCAGCUGAGUUGGAUCCAGAAUUUAAUAAACUCUGUGAAGAAAUUAAGGAAGCAAGAAUAAAAAGAGGCUUAUCGGUAACAGCAGAACAAAUAAAUCCUCAUGGUACUGGAGCUCGAAAGACAGAAACUAGAGUUGAAGAGGCAUUUCGGCACAAACAAAGAAAUCCAAUGGAUGUCUGGCACAGUUCUGCAAAUAAAUGUGCAUUUCGAGUUCGGAGAAAAUCACGGCGGCGAUCACAGUGGGGUAAAGGAAUUAUUAAGAAAAGGAAAGUCAAUAAUUUAAAAAAAGAUGAAGAGGACACCAAAUUUACUGACUAUGAGAAUCAUAUGGAGGACAGGAAAUUGCUCGAAAAUGGAGAGUUUGAGGUAAGCACUGACUGCCAUGAAGAAAAUGGAGAAGAGACUGGAGACUUAUCUAUGACCAAUGAUGAAUCAUCCUGUGACAUCAUGGACAUGGACCAGGGGCAGAGGCUUAACAAUGGAGCAAGCACAAAAGAGAACUUUGCAUCUACUGAAGAGGAAAGUUCAAAUGAGUCUCUACUCAUCAACAGCAGCAGUUCUCUAAAUCCAGAACAGACAUCUCGGAAAGAGCCUUUCCUUAAAGAAGGCUGUCUAAAUGGUGAGGCCUCCACAGACAGUUUUGAAGGAAUACCAGUUCUGGAGUGUCAGAAUGGCAAAGCUGAAGUAGUUUCUUGCUGUGGCAGUGGAGAUAAAUGUAGUUCUGAACAAAAGACUCUCCUGGAGGACCACUCAAAAGAAAAACCAGAAACUUCAAAUGAAAAUCAUGGAGAUGAUCCUGAGAAACUAGAGGCACUGGAAUGUAGCACUAACGAGAAGUUAGAGCCUGGCCCUGAUGUAGAGGUUAAAGAUGCAGAACUGGAUAAAGAAGGUGCUUCUAAAGUAAAGAAAUAUCGUAAGUUAAUUUUAGAACAGGCAAAAACAACAAGCCUGGAACUGGUUCCAGAAGAGCCAUCUGAGCCUGUGCCACCUCUUAUAGUUGAUCAUGAGAGAUUGAAGAAAUUGCUUGAUUUGUUGGUAGAUAAAAGCAACAAUCUGGCAGUUGAUCAACUUGAGAGAUUAUAUUCUCUUCUUAGUCAGUGCAUCUACCGUCACCGUAAAGAUUAUGACAAAUCACAACUUGUAGAGAAAUCCAUGGUUGGCAGACACACGGAAUAACAUGGCGCAGUUCUCCCCUCCCUUGCUUCUCGGCGACUUCACAGAUGAUGCAUAUCACGUGGGCCUGUUGAAUGAGAUGGAAAGAACAGUUCAUAUGUUUGAGACAUUCCUAUGAACCUUUCAAGAAGAGUGGUUUAUCCCCUCCAAUCUGCUCCUGACAGAGCAGUCUUCUGAGCCAUUCAAUUUCAAAUUGCACCAAUUAACGUGCAGAGCCUUGGUGUAAAGUGCUCUCUCACUCAUUCUUUCUCUCUGUUGAAUUUGGUGCUAUUGUCUCAGGUACCUGAAACCAACCAGCCUACAAGAACCAAACAGAACUUCAGAAACAUGUUGUAUUUUCCACAAAUAAAAAAUACAACCCCACAGAUUGGAGAUUUUGGUGCUACAGAAACUGCUCUCACUUCUGCUCCUCUUUUUGUGCACUCUUUUUUGGAGAUUUGUCUCUUAGGGAGCAGACCAGCAAAUUUGAGGAAACUGGAUGGGGCAGUUCUUACUGUGUUGAAUUGUUUAAAAAGUGGGCAACCUGUUCCUUUCCCUCUCCUUUCUACCCCUUUUAUCAUAUUUGUUUUAUUUUUUUCUCUGGGUAAUGGACUAAAGCCUGUUUUGAAAUUGGCUAUGGUACAUUCUGGUGGGAAACUGAAGAAACUGGAUGAAAUUAGAUUAGGCUCUUUAGAACUGCCUUUAAUGUGCCUUUUUAUUCAUUUGAGAAAGGAUAAGGCUAAACACAAGGAUGGGCUUGUUUGUAGCAAAUGAAUUAAAAUGUUUUCUUUGGUCACAACCCUGAAAAUAAGUUUUGAUACUCUGUAUCAUUAAGAGGCAGCCAGUGAUUUGGUAUGAAAUGCCUAUAUUGCUUUUAAAACUCAAUCAAGAAAGUUGUUAAGCUACAAAAUAUACUAAAAAUGGUAAGUUUUCCUGUAUGGUUUGUUUCUGUUUAAGAAACAUGUGAUGAAGCAACAACAACAAAAAAUAAUACACAAUCCAUAAAAAAAAAAAAAACCACACUCUUUUUGGUAUGGAUGACAAUGAUGGUCAGAAAAUAGAACUGCCUUCUGUUUUCUUCUAUCAGUGGUAAUUUAAUGGAUAUUCAUGUUUGAGUUCCCAGAGAAGAAUGAUUUUCAUGUAUAGCAAAUUAUUACUGUUUUGGUUUAAAGCCAGGACUUGCCAAAUGGAAAGAAAAGAGGAAUUUUUGUCUAGGAGCUCCAUAAAAUUCUUUUUCAGUAUGCAUAGUUGCAAGUGAGCUCUGGUAUGGUCCUUGAAUAACAGUAUUAAUAUUUAAAUCCCUCAUCAUAAGCUUACCUUCACAACUAACUAUUCAUUUUGAUCGGAACCCAUUUUGGAUCUUGUUGAGCGAUUUCUGUGACUUGUACUUAUCUAAAAUUAAUUAUGGAUUACUAGUUUUACAAAAACUUUCUACAAAGUCAGAGACACAGUCUAGGCAGUUGCAAAGAGGCAAAAGGAGUGCAGUGACUUUUUUAUCAGAUGAUUUUUAAACAAAAAAGUAGAAAAUUUUGACAAGUUGGCUUGAUACCUUCGUUCAUUAUAGCCGUUAGCUGCACAGGUGUGUCUUUCCAAUAUAUGCAACACAUGUAGUUUGGGUUUUAGAGCAAAUGGUCUUGGACUACUGCAGAGAUACUGAGCUACCUCAGCUUUUUGUAUUUUAGUUACCAACGGUGUCUACAGAGUUCUGUAUUCACUUUGCCACCGUUUACAUGCUGAAGCUAAGGUACUUGUCUCCUCGUCUCUGGCUUCGUAGGGUGCUGGAUGCCAGUGCAGAAAGCACGCUUUGGCCAAGGCUACUGCAGUAAUCUUAAGUGCUUCUUUGCAUUUACAUGAACAUUUUACGCUUUCUAACUCUAGUUUAAUUUUAAAAUAAUGCCACUUGUUUUCUUUAUACCUAUGAACUUUUCAUGAUAUUCAGUUAGUCAUAUAAUUCAAGAUGCUACCCGUGUAGACACACUGUAUUUUUAAGGUGGGCAAGUGCGAUUAACGAUGAACCAAUUUUAAAGGGGAGGUCAUUUGAAACCUCUAAUUUGAUUACUGGGAGGAUUUUCAUGCUUUCUUUAGUAUUUAUUACCAUCAUACCAGUUCAAGCUAUUUUACUGUCUAAUACAUUAGCAUUUUGUAUUUUGAUGGAAAUUGUUACAGAAUUUAAAAAUUUGAUGAAAUAAGAUGUAGCAGAUUUUUUGUAGCAAGUUUCUGGUAAAAGGGUUUUUUGCAAGUCUCAGGUUCUUGCUGCACUAUUUUUCUUUAAAUAUUUAUUCCAGUUACUCUAAUUCAGAAGCAUUCUGUUCAAGUAACAGCAGCACUUGUGAAUGGAAAAAAAAAAUGCACAUGUUCUUAGUAAGUUACUAAAUUUGUACAGGUUAAGGUUUUAGCCAUCAGUGAGUUUGACAAGGGAAAUUUAUUUAUGUUCAGCAUUAAAAUGCUUCUAAAAGAUCAAAUUUUUUAAUUUUAACCUUGAUAGAGAUAAGAGAAAUAGGAGGCAACCUCAGUAUGAUAGGAUCUGCCACUCUGAACAGUUUAGGUCUUAAAGAGAAAGCCAGUCUAAUGCCAAGGGGAGAAAAAUGAGCUGAAAUUGUACUAACUCCUCUGGCCCCUUUCCCCCUGCAAAAGAAACACGCUAUACCAGUUUUGCUGACUUUACAGCUAUCUGGUGGUUCUAGAAUUUAAAGCAGCUUGUGAAAUUAUCCAAGCAGACUCAGUUUUGUUUACCUUUCUGUAAGUUCUUGAUUUUUGCUGUAUAGCAUUGGCAAAAACAUGUACAAAUUGACCUCUGUUCUUAUUUCCUAUUGUGAGCAUUAUACAUUAGCUCCUGUGUAAAACCUUGCUCCCAGAUGACUAAAAUGUGUAUCACGGCCCAGCCCAACAAUAGUUAAUGCUCAGCUGUGGGGACCAUAGGAGCUUUUGAAGACGAUGGAACCGCACUAGGGUUGAAACUGAUGGCUGUGGAGUUAAUUGUGUUUUUGAGCUUGAAUCUCACCUGUGAUUAAUUUUUUUUUGUUUAGUUUUGUUGUCCUUUCAGUACAUUCUUUCAGGACUUGAUUUUUCUCAUAUGCCAAUGUAUUUGUAGAUUUACUGGAUUUUAUUUUUUAGGGAGUGGGGUGGUAAUAUCUUCCCAUUUUUUGAUUAAGUUGGUUCAGCUAUGGUGCUAUUCAGUAGGUAUCUUCAGUGUCAGGUCCCGUAGCUGAAUGCCAUUGUUAUUAUAAUUAUUAUUUGUAAUCACAUUGUAAGCUUGAAUUUGGACUUGUACCAACAUCUUUUGUAUUUUGUACAUUCGGUUAUUUAGACUUUGGGAGUCCUCUUUGGUUUCAUUCAUGUAUGUCUACUUUGUAGAGUAAGUAGACCUCCUCAACUAUGGUCUAUUUUGGGUUUGUAGUUUAAUUUAGAAUUGUGUUAAGUUGAUGUUUUACAUUUGACUUCAUUUUACAUUAGUUUGAAGUAAAUUAUUUAAUUUUUGAAUUCUGGAAUUUUGAACAUUUACUGUAAUUUGUAAUAUAACUGCUGUGAAAUACUUGAAUAAAGAUGACAAGAAAAUCA